rnacentral:rRNA from 1 species
GACGAACGCUGGCGGCGUGCUUAACACAUGCAAGUCGAACGGUGAACUCCGCUUGCGGGGGGAUCAGUGGCGAACGGGUGAGUAACACGUGGGCAACCUGCCCUCAGCUCUGGGAUAACUCCAAGAAAUUGGGGCUAAUACCGGAUAUGACCGCUGACCGCAUGGUCUGGUGGUGGAAAGAUUUAUCGGCUGGGGAUGGGCCCGCGGCCUAUCAGCUUGUUGGUGGGGUAGUGGCCUACCAAGGCGACGACGGGUAGCCGGCCGGAGAGGGUGACCGGCCCCACGGGGACACUGAGCCCGGCCGAAGCCCGAAGGGAGGGGAGGGGGGGGAAAAUGGUCCGAAGGCGCAAAGCCGUACCCAGGCCCCCCGGGGGUGGGAAGCGACGCUGUCGGUUCAACACCUCUCAAAGAAGGGAAGAAAGGGGAGUGAAGGGACCCCGAGAAGAAACACCGGCCAACUCCGGG